UCAGGCGGAGCGGGGCGGCUGGUCCGUGACGCGCCGGGGCGGCGGGGGCCCGGGAGCGGCCGGGAGCGCCCGACGGCGGUUCCUGCCGCGGAGGGUCUGCCCUCGGCGGGAUGCUGGGAUGCGGGGUGCUGUUCGGCGCCGGCGUUCUCUGAGGAAACGGCGCUUUCCUGAGCAGGACGGUCCGAGUCGUGAGGAAAAGGUGCCGUGUGGUGGCAGGACUUCGCCAGGGACGAGGCUGGCGGUGAAACUCACCCCUAACGGUCGCAGUCGCCUGUCUGCCGUGGUCAGAGCAACAUGAUCUUGUGCAGAGCUGUUGGAGUACUAUAGAUUUUUUCCCCAGCCUUGAUAAAUACUGGAACUUUUGCAGUACCGCUGGUUUAGCAGUCUCUGAGCCUGGAGAAGCGAAAGCCGGCGGGUUACCCGCUCUGGCUUUGCUAGGACGCAGGGCAGAUGUCCUUUUGUCACAUACGCAAAGGAAGCUGGACAGAAAAGGGCUGACAGCUCACCACAUCCUGUGAGUGAGGACAUGGAGCCUGCCAGGAAGGUCUGGGCUGUGAACUGGCAUAGCAACUCAUCUCACUGGAAAAAGCUACGCUUCAGGAAAAAAAGGGGGAAAGACUGUGAGAAUUAUAUCUAAUGGUAUUCCUAGUGCUUCUGAAGUGUCUGUUAAGGAAGUUUUACAGGUCCUGAAAGUGAAGAAGGGUUUAAACAGGCCCAUCGAAACCCUUCAAUCACCCUGUGCAGAGGGAGAAACUUAGCAAUGCUGGAGAGAGUCAGCAACCAAAAAAAAAAAAAAAAAAAAAAAAAAAAAAAAAAAAAACCUUUAAAUUCCAAAGGAGAGAAUAAAAUGGCUAGAAGACAGGCAAUUUCUACUGAAAAUCUCACAAACAAGGGAUAAAGCUCAAAUACAAACAAUUAGAAAGAAGCACAUCUGUCAUGUCUGUGGUACUGUCAAAACGAGAAUCCAUCUGGGAAAAGAUCCAGCACUACCUCCUUUGAGUUAUAUAUUUUUUCUCUUUAAAUAUUGUAUGGCAUCCAUCUCUAUGGCUGUGUGUUGUCUGUGCUGGCAUGUGGGUGUGUAUUGCUGAAGGCUCCGUGUAUUAGCAGAAGAUCUAUAGUCUCAUUUUAGGAAUUUUGCUGCUAUAAAAAUAUAUUUCUGUUUGUGA